rnacentral:rRNA from 1 species
AUUGAACGCUGGCGGCAGGCCUAACACAUGCAAGUCGAACGAGUGGCGGACGGGUGAGUAAUUUCUGGGAAACUGCCUGAUGGAGGGGGAUAACUACUGGAAACGGUAGCUAAUACCGCAUACCAUCGGAUGUGCCCAGAUGGGAUUAGCUAGUAGGUGGGGUAAUGGCUCACCUAGGCGACGAUCCCUAGCUGGUCUGAGAGGAUGACCAGCCACACUGGAACUGAGACACGGUCCAGACUCCUACGGGAGGCAGCAGGGGGGAAUAUUGCACAGUGGGCGAAAGCCUGAUGCAGACAUGCCGCGGGUAUGAAGAAGGCCUUCGGGUUGUAAAGCACUUUCAGCGGGGAGGCGUUACCCGCAGAAGAAGCACCGGCUAACUCCGUGCCAGCAGCCGCGGUAAUUC